AUGUUAUGUCAUUCUUAUUAUUGACGAAAAUGGGAAUUUUCUGAUGGUCUUGUCCGUGGACAAAGUCUGAAAACUUUCUCCACGUGAUACGUUUCUCUGUGCACUGUACACGUAGCGCCACAGGGCAUGUAAGUUGCAUACAUUCUGCACAGCAUUGUUUCGAUUCGCAUGACCCUUGACCCCAGCUUAUCACUGUGGCGCGCGUACAUACGAUUCUCACGUUACAUGUAUAUCUUAGGGGCUCACAAAACAAUAACAAUAAUCAUUUGGGUACUUUUUCAGAUGUAAUUUGUGGGUUAUUUAAUAUCAUAUCAUCCCCUUAUAUGUCAUUUAUAUUGUAUAAUUUUAACAUUGUAUUACAGAAGCUCUGUAGCCUCCCGCACCUGAGAUUUACAUUUGUAUAACUGCACAUAGACGAGGUGCUGGGUUUUUAAUUUGCUGGGAUUAAUUUGCUGGAACUAAUUCGCCAGGAUUAUCUUGCUGGGAUUAUUUACUGGAACUGGAAUAAAAGCUCAGUGAACAUCAA
rnacentral:lncRNA from 1 species